AUGAAAAAUCAUGAAACCAUGACAGACAAUUUAAAAGUAAAAUGUUUAGGACUGUUUAAUUUCUAUUUUAAUUUCUAUCAAAUUAAACCUCCACCUUUUUAUGAGACUUGAUAACCAAAUCUUAAGUUUCAUCUGGAAAAAUGAUUUGCCUUUUAUUUCUAUAAUUUUACAUUGUUUAUUUUAUAGAAGUUUUAUGAGUCUCAGAAGUUCAUUUGAGGGAAAACAUGCUUUGGUUAAGAAAAUUAUUCCAUUUCGUGCUGUGUUUUGUACUGAUUCAAUACAGAUAUUUCUGAAAAGUAGUGCACUAUCAGUUGUGGGAGAACUAAGAAAUAUGUAUUAACUGGAUUAUCUUCUUUCAUACUGAGAAAAUCAGUGAGUCUUGAUUCAUAUAUUUCUAAUGGAUUUUAUUCUAAUAUUAGUUAGUAUGUAUUUUUCUUUACAGUACAACUUAAGAUUUUGAAUUGUCAAGCAUUAAUUCUGAAGGAGCAUUAAAUCUUAUCGCUAGCAUUUUUCCUUCUAGUCUUAAAGGUAAUUUCCUUUUCAUCCUCCAUGCUUAUACUUCAGACAGUUGUAAGCAUCUACAUGUAAAACCUCCCCCCAGAAAAUAAAUCCUUUUUCUUGAGAGAAAACUUGAUGAAUAACAUUCUAAUGUUAAGAUGUUAUGAUCCGGUCACUAUGACAUUGUUGUUCUUUAGUUUAAAGCCCAGACAGCGAAUCUUUUCUUACAUCAUCAAAAUUGUUUUACAUGCCUGAAGUAUCUCAGCAUGCCUAUUAAUGUCAAAUUAGACAGAGUCUGAAAACAGACUUAAGAAUUUGAAAUAGAUGUAUUCCCUAUGGAAAAUAAAUUGCCCUUCGUGUUUUUUCUUGAUAACAUUAGUCAUCUUAAAAUGUGAACAUAUGCAAGUAGUGUCUGAUUUCCAUUUGGAAGUAUUAGUACCAGAAAUUCAGACUUAUUUUUAACUAUUUUGGCCUAAACUGUGAGUGUCCCACCUAAACUAAAGGUUUAUGAUGAUGAUGGUUGUAGGGUUUUUUUUCUUCUAUUAAGUAACUUGGUUCUAAUUUCAAACAAUUGCUUAGAUACAAAUAAUAGUUUCUUAAAAAGACAAAUACUAAGUCACAUUUCUAUUGUAGUUACAGAUUUAAUGUUGCAGAACUGUAAUAGGUUUCCAGGAUUACAAUGGAAGCAUGUGUUCCUAAUGGUGUCUCCUUAAUGUUUGCUUUUUGAACAACGAAAGUGUACAUUUUUAAUAAAUCCAUUUUGUCAGGCAAGAUGUAUGCAUUUACAUAUUCAGGUAUAGUAACACUUCAUUAAAUUAGCAUAAGGUACCUCAGCAAGAUGUAAACUUAUUCAUCAUGCAGACUUCAAAAACUUUAUUAUACUAAUCUUUAUUCCACUAGUAAGCUAUAUUUUUCAUUUUUUAUAAAUCUUUUUUUUUUCCAUUUAAACAGUUUAAGAAUUAUUACUAUCAGAUUGAGAAUUCAGUAGACUACUUUAAAAUUUGAAAGAUAUUUACAAUAUAAAUGUAUGUGAAUGACCAUAAAGACAAUUUUGGAAUAUAAGAUGUCAUAGAAGACUAAGCAACAAUUAAUCUACAGCAGUGUAAUUGGAGUAAAUAUUCAGCGUUAGAGCAGAUGAAUACAAAAUACAUAAACUUGAGCAAUUCUUUGGAACAUUUAUAAAAAAAUAGUUUUUUUUUUUUAACGUUACUGGGGGGGUAAAACUUUUUAUGUCUAUUUUUUCAUCAGCAAGAAAGAGGCAGGCAGAAUAUUUUGUACUUAAUAAAACUACAAAGGCUGAGACUCUACAAGCUCUGAGUAGAAAUAACAAAGUAGCUAGGAUGAAUAAAGAAAGCAUGAUAGAAUAGGCAAAAUUAAAUAAUCUGUAGGUGUGUAUUCCUAUUAUGAGGGGAUAUACACAGAUUUCAAGAGCACAAAACGAAUGCUGAAACAGAUGUUUGAUUUUCAGUCUCUUAACUGGUAGUAUAUUUAGGUAAGGAAGAAACAAAGGGGAAGGAGGUAUUAAGAGGUGGUGAAUUGUUGUAAGGCGCUUGUCAUGCACAAUCAAGAAGUAGUUAUAGGAAUUUGCACGAGAGAGUUGGUUAACAUUCAAGUACCACUUCCUCCUCAGAAUUGGUCUGUUGGCUUAAGUAUAUCGAUAGCAAAAGGAGCCUAUGGCCUGCUACUGAAUGAGGUGGGUGCUCUGAUAAUGGAGGACAUUGAGAAGGCGGAGUUACUGAAUGUCUUCUUUGCUUAGCAGUCUUUACUGCUAAGAUUGCCAUUCAGGAAUCCCAGACCUUGAAGAUGAGAGAGAGUAGGGCAGGAAACUUUGCCUUGGCCAAGGAGGAUCUGAUCAGAGAUCAUCUAGGCAAACUUGACAUACACAAAUCCAUGGGCCUCUGUGGUAUACACCAACAGGGAGGGAGCUGGCAGAAGUGAUUGCUGAACCACUCUCUAUCGUAUUUGAAAAGUCUUGGAGAAUGGAAGAGGUGCUUGAAGGCUGGAGGAAAUGCAGUGUCUUCAUAAAGGGCAAGAAGGAAUACUUGGGAAAUUUGCAGGCCUGUCAGCCUUACCUCUGUCCCUGAGAAAGCAAUGGAGCAACUUAAUCUGAAUGUUGUCACCAAGCAGGUUGAAGCAGAGGCUAUCGGGAGUAAUCAUUGUGGAUUCAUCAAGGGAAAAUCAUUAUUGACCAAUCUGGUAGUCAUCUACAAUGUCAUGACAAGCAAGGCAGAUGAGGGGAGAGCAGUGGAUGAUGUCUGCCUUCAGCAAGGCUUUUCACAUUGUCUGUGAUAAUAUCCUCACAGCUUCUCUUGAAUCAAUUAAUGUCCACACCACAUGAACCCUAUGUAACAGUUGAUGACUCAUUUUGGCCACCUUAUCUGGAGCUGCUACUGCGAAGUGGAAUUGCCCUGAGGCAUCCAGAAGAUCCAAACAGGAUACGUCUAGAAGCCUUUCAUGAGUAGUGUGAUCUACAUGUUUACUUCUAAACAAAUCACUAGUAUUUAUGGGAAGCCAUACUUAUGUAUCUGCUGAAAAUUGCCGGGAAGAGGCUCAAUGGUGUUCUAUAUGAGAACUUCACAACGCUCUGAGGGUAGAGGGGGAGUGAGAACAGUUUAAUGUUAAGUUCUACCAUAAUUGCCUUUUUAGCUACACUGCUUUAAGUGCAUUUAAUUUUGCCUACUUAAUUGGUUACUAUGCAUAAUUACAAACAGUGGUAGGUGUUGUCCAGAAACAUUGACUUUUGUUUUAUAACUGCUUGCUUAAAUGCCCUCCAUUCAAAGACUAACUGUAAUGUCUGACUUUCAUGCACAUUUAGUUGUUUUUUUUUUUUUCUCCUUAAUUAUUCAGGGUUUUCUAGAAUGGUCUUUUUGUUUGUUUUUAAAUAUUUUGUAUUUUGCUAUCCUUUACACAUAUAAUAUUCAUAAAAUUGUUUGAGGUGGGAAGUACCUUUAGAAGUCAUCAGUCUUAGGUUCCUUCUUUGAUCUGUGAUAGUGUAAAUUCAGGAAUAAAUAAUAUUAACAACUAU